CUCGACUUACUGGAAGAGAUCGCCUGUGACGUCACAUUAAGCCCUGCAGACGCUACCACUGGAACUUCGCUUUAACCUUGGUGUAAAUGUCGCUGGAAUCCGACGCACCGUAUACUGUCCACUCGAAAAGACGGACGAGGGACGUCGAGGGUGAUCGAUCAAUUCUGCCGGGUUUGAGAAAACAAAUCCCGGCCAAAGUGGUUUGGCUCUCGGGUUAAAAGUUCAGCUAUCAACCGGUUGUUUUAAGCGUAAAAGUGAGAAGAGACGGACCAGGGCUUGAGUGAGGACCUGCAAAUAGGGAGUUGGGACUUGAACUGGUAAUGUUAUAGCUCGGUCAACAGAUAAGGCAAUUUUACAAAUCGUUUCGUAUUUUGGGCAAAAUAACUCGGUUUUAGGUUUUAAGUUGUAAACUGCUCCAAUAACAAAGUCAAGUUUGUGACGACGAUAAACGAGCUUGUUCAAACAAUUGUGACGUCAUUUAUCUUGUAAUUGUCCCCUGUGAUGUCACAUAUGAUGACAAUCACAAUAAUAAAAAUACCAAUUCUGUUAUAUAGCGCGCUUACCUUUCAAGUGGACAAUGUAAAAUUUUAAUUUUAUCUUUGGCUCGGGUUCAAUUACGAGUACUUGAAAAUCAAAA